CGGAGGAUGCAAGCGUUAUCCGGAUUUAUUGGGUUUAAAGGGUGCGUAGGCGGAUGAAUAAGUCAGUGGUGAAAGCCUGCAGCUUAACUGUAGAAUUGCCAUUGAUACUGUUUAUCUUGAGUACAGCUGAGGUGGGCGGAAUAUGACAUGUAGCGGUGAAAUGCUUAGAUAUGUCAUAGAACACCGAUUGCGAGGGCAGCUCACUAAACUGUCACUGACGCUGAGGCACGAAAGCGUGGGGAGCAAACAGGAUUAGAUACCCUGGUAGUCCACGCCCUAAACUAUGAUCACUCGAUGUUGGCGAUACACUGUCAGCGUCUAAGGGAAACCAUUAAGUGAUCCACCUGGGGAGUACGGUCGCAAGACUG
rnacentral:rRNA from 1 species